UCUUAGAAGCCCCUUUGCUCCUCCUGCCUCUUCAAGCAAGAGUAACAGAUGUUUCCUGUCUGUUUAUUUAUGGAAGGCAGAGAGCAUUGGAGCAGAAAUGGUCAAAACUUUGUUCUGUCCUGCUUAUGAGUGAGAUAGUGUAAAAAAACAAACUAAGGACUCUGCUCUUGAAUGUUGAACACAUAAAAAGGGGGCAGAGUUAACUGGCCUGAUGUCAUUGCAAGGGACCUUUACAUCUGAGAAUGUUCAGAUUAAUAUUUCUUCGAGCAUGAAAGUUUUGCACAUUUUGAGGAAGAAAAAGGUAACGAAAGGGUCCAAGACUAAUUACAAGCAAGCACUUGAGCGGGGAGAACUUACUUUCCUGAUUCUCUUCAGCCAGGCCUCAUCACAGAGUUGCAUAAAGUCCAUUAAAUGAAGUUCCUUGGGAAAAAUGAAGAUAUGGAGGAAGACAAGUACUUAG